rnacentral:lncRNA from 1 species
CACACAACCCAUGUAAUAUAUAAAGGAAAGAGAUACAUAGUUGGCUUACAAUCGCCACUUCACACAAUUACAUGAAUAAAGCAUUACAUCAACCAGAUACAAUCAAGGUCCGACUACGGAACCAAAAUAAAAGAAGAACCCCAAAUGCGACAAAGGUCCCCGAUCGACCCCAACUGGGCUCCACUACUGAUCAACUAGCACGGAAACAACACAAAGGACAAGAUCUUCAACGAGCUCCUCCUGAGCUUGGUUGUGUCAUCUGCACGGACUCAUCGGCACCUGCAAGCUGGUUUUGGAAGUAUCUGUGAGCCACAGGGACUCAGCAAUCUCGCACCCACGAGAUCAAGACUAUUUAAGCUUAUGGGUAAGGUAAAGGGAUGAGGUGGAGCUGCAGCAAGCGACUAGCAUAUAUGGUGGCUAACAUACGCAACUGAGAGCGAGAAGAGAAGGCAAAGCAUGAUCGAUAAAAGUAUGAUCAAGAAGUGAUCCUGGACUACUUACGUCAAGCAUAACUCCAACACCGUGUUCACUUCCCGGACUCCGCCGAGAAGAGACCAUCACGGUUACGCACGCGGUUGAUGUAUUUUAAAUAAGGUCAACUUCGGGUUUUCUACAACCGGACGUUAACAAAUUCCCAUCUGCCCAUAACCGCGGGCACGGCUUUCGAAAGUUCAAAUCCCUGCAGGGGUGUCCCAACUUAGCCCAUGACAAGCUCUCACGGUCAACGAAGGAAUAGACCUCCACCCGAGACACUCCGAUCAGACUCGGUAUCCCGGUACAACAAGACAUUUCGACAGGGUAAAACUAAACUAGCAACACCGCCCGAAUGUGCCGACAAAUCCCGAUAGGAGCUGCACAUAUCUCUUUCUCAGGGCACACUCAGAUGAGCGCUCCAUACAACUAAAACCAAACCUCGAGUUUCCCCGAGGGGGCGCUGCACAGGACUCUAGUUCGGACCAACACUCAGAGGAGCACUGGCCCGGGGGGGUUAAAAAAAUGAUGACCCUUGAGUCUGCAGAACCCAAGGGAAAGAAAAGGCUAGGUGGCAAAUGGUAAAACCAAUGUUGGGCAUUGCUGGAGAAGCUUUACUUAAGGCGAACUGUCAAGGGGUUCCCAUUAUAGCCCAACCGUGUAAGGAACGCAAAAUCCGGGAACAUAACACCGAUAUGACGGAAACUAGGGCGGCAAGAGUGGAACAAAACACCAGGCAUAAGGCCGAGCCUUCCACCCUUUACCAAGUAUAUAGAUGCAUUAAUUAAAUACGAUAUAUAGUGAUAUCCCAACAAGUAAAACAUGUUCCAACAAGGAACAACAUCUCCAUGUUCCAACAAGGAACAACUUCAAUCUUCACCUGCAACUAACAACGCUAUAAGAGGGGCUGAGCAAAGCGGUAACAUAGCCAAUCAACGGUUUGCUAGGACAUGGUGGGUUAGAGGUUUGACAUGGCAAUUUGGGAGGCUGACAAGCAAAUGGUAGGCAUCGUAGCAUAGGCAUAGCAAGAGCGAGCAAACUAGCAUAGCAAAGAUAGUAGUGAUUUCGAGGGUAUGAUCAUCUUGCCUGAAAUCCCGCAAGGAAGAAGAACGAGUCCAUGAAGAAGAUAAACGGAACAUAGACGAACGGGUCCUCACAAGCGCGAUGUUACCGGAACCAACCCGAAGAAGCAACACCGGAAAAGGAAGCAC